AUUUGCAGAAAUGUAGGCUGCACUCACGGACUUCAAAUUUCAAUAUAGGUGCUUUAUUCCAUUAAACAAAUAAAUCGAUCAGAUUUAUUUGUUUAAUGGAAUAAAGCACCUAUAUUGAAAUUUGAAGUCUGUGAGUGCAGCCUACAUUUCUGCAAAU
rnacentral:miRNA from 1 species